CGAUUCGGAGGGAAAGCGUGAGAAAGAGAUUCUCUUCUUUGUCUCCGCGGUUGUCACCUGGAGUGUGUCUCUGUGAGGAUUCGUUCGCGCGCACACCGGCUUGUGUCGCGCGAGCACGCUGUGCAGCGAGAGAGUGGAGCCUCCCGCGGUCCCGGUUUGAGGAACAGUCCGGUUUCCGUUUUCUCUGCGAAGAAGGCCUCUGCACUCGUCAACUUCGGCUGAAACGAAAGGUUGCCUCUCUCAGACACGCCGUUCUUCGGGAGGAUCGCGAGCUUGGUCCGAGAACCGCUCAGUUCUCGCGAAGGCUACCUCGCGACCGCGUGUAUCUGCGCCCGGCGUAGUUCUGCGGGUGCGAGGGCAAGAGCAGGAAAAAGAGGCCGACUCGUAAGAGGGAUCGCUCGCCUUUCUUAUCGUCGAAAGAUGCGUCAACACAAAGAAGGUGAAGGCUAGUCGGAACCAGAAAGUUCGCUCUUCCCGUGCACGACGCGACGGACCAGAGACACUCGAUCGGGCCGAGGGAAGAUGCGAAGACCGAGAGUGUCUUAAACUCAGUUAAAAGGAAUGGCCUUCAGCUUUGUUCAAAGUCGCCCUUCCCAUAUGGGCGGGGGGAGCGGUUCUCGACGAAUCAGAUGCCAAUUCAGCGGCUCCAUGUGGACAAGUCGAAACGGAAACGUGCGUGAAAACCCUUUCAACGAAUCUUGGAACGCACACGGAAACAGAGGCGGUUGUGUGUGUGUACCUCGACGGAAAAAACGCAAAUUCCUCUGCGUUUUUCGCCAUUGGAAUCGAAGGACAGUGACGGGUCAGACAGGGAGGAGCCUAGUGGCGUGGCGAACACUUUCUCUCUCGUCUUUUCUUUGUCAGCUAGCAGUCGGAAGACUCUUUUUCAGGGAGAAACGGGAACCGCGCACGCGCCUUCCGUGCAAACCGUUGCGCUUAGGUCUCCUCUCAAAAACGCUUUGCACGCAGUGUGUAGAUUCGUUCGAGUCUGCGUCACCUCUUGGGAACGGACGGAGGUGACGCAGUCCGCCAAAAAGCUGUUGACCGUGGAGAAGUUUCUGUGUCAAAGUGAAACCACGCGGCAUCGCUCCAGCAGACGCAAUCUCUCCGUUAUCCACUGAUGCUUCGUUCACAAUCGACGGUCUCUGGUGUCAAAAACAAAGACAGCGCUGUCGUGUGUGCGUACUCGAGCGUCCAGAUGCCCACGCUCGGGGAAUAAGGGUGAGCACACUCGCGCCCGCGGCCUAUUUUUACCUGAAUCGACUCUUUUAACGGGGGUUUUCUUGAGGUUUAUUCGGCGCGUGUGAAACACAGGACUGCUUCACACACAGUCUUCCACGUGCAUGAACAGCUGGAUAAACAGAGAUAGCGGUAACGACGCAAAAAAAAUUGUGCGUGGGUGGGGAAACGUUUACCUAGGCAGACUGGGAAAAGACGAGGGACGGAAGAGAAGCGAGAACGGAAAGACAGAAAAAAAUCCGGAGAACGCACGACGUGUCGCCAGGUGAAGAGGCAGGCAGGCGAGCGAGGGUGGUGAAAACUGGAGUCCGAAAAGGGCUACUUUUUCGCGGCCGCUGCCUUUUCCGUGUGAAAC
rnacentral:lncRNA from 1 species